rnacentral:tRNA from 1 species
UGGCUCAGUGGGGAAGCACUUGGCUGCUAAUCAAAAGGCUGGUGGUUCGAACCCAUC